GAUGAACGCUGGCGGCGUGCCUAACACAUGCAAGUCGAGCGAACGGACGGGCAGCGUGCUUCCCUGAUGUUAGCGGCGGAUGGGUGAGUAACACGUGGAUAACCUACCUAUAAGACUGGGAUAACUACGGGAAACCGGAGAUAACAUCGGAUGAUAUUUUGAACCGCAUGGUUCAUCAGUGAACGACGGUCUUGCUGUCACUUAUAGAUGGAUCCGCGCUGCAUUAGCUAGUUGGUAAGGUAACGGCCUACCAAGGCAACGAUGCAUAGCCGACCUGAGAGGGUGAUCGGCCACACUGGAACUGAGACACGGUCCAGACUCCUACGGGAGGCAGCAGUGGGGAAUCUUGCACAAUGGGCGAAAGCCUGACGGAGCAACGCCGCGUGAGUGAUGAAGGCCUUCGGGUCGUAAAGCACUGUUGGUAGGAAAGAAAAGAUGUGUGCGAAUAUGUGGACAUGUUGACGGUACCUGAAGAGAAAGCACCGGCUAACUACGUG
rnacentral:rRNA from 1 species